rnacentral:rRNA from 1 species
UACGGGGGUGCGAGCGUUGUCCGGAAUCACUGGGCGUAAAGGGCGCGUAGGUGGCGUGAUAAGGGUGUGGUGAAAGCCCGGGGCUCAACCCCGGGUCUGCCAUGCCGACUGUCAGGCUCGAGUGCUGUAGGGGCAGGCGGAAUUCCGGGUGUAGCGGUGGAAUGCGUAGAGAUCCGGAGGAACACCGGUGCGAAGGCGGCCCUCUGGACGGUGACUGACGCUGAGACGCGAAGCGUGGGGAGCAAACAGG